CAUAGCUUCAAAUGUGACAACACGCUUUUCUAAAGCGCGUGUCGACCACGCUCCUUUUCCAGAUUGUAGAUGUUAGGUUGUCAGUUUUUGUAGUUGAAACUUUUGCCGCCGUUCUCGCCUUGCGCAGAGAAGCAUGUUGUUGAUAUCCAAAACCACGCCAAACUUAUGGGUCUCUCCACCCCACCAAAUUCACAGAGAAAACUCUCUCACAUAUCCAAAUGGUUUCAUAUUCUUCAGACCAUCUUCCAAUACCCCACUUGUAUCUUCAAAUUUGUAUCAUUCUUGUGCCACCAUUGGCACCUCAGUCUUGCCCAGUGAGACCAUUGAUUGUAAAAUUACGGAUUACAACAUUGAAAUAUGCAGAUUCUGUGAGUUGGGUAAUCUGAGAAGGGCCAUGGAAUUGAUCAACCAGUCUCCUAAACCAGACCUGGAGUUAAGAACCUAUUGCUCUGUCUUACAGCUCUGUGCGGAUCUUAAAUCCAUACAAGAUGGUAGGAGAAUUCAUUCGAUUAUUCAAUCUAAUGAUGUCGAAGUUGAUGGUGUUUUGGGUUCCAAACUUGUGUUUAUGUAUGUGACUUGCGGGGAUUUGAGGGAAGGGAGACGGAUUUUCGAUAAAGUUGCUAACGAAAAGGUAUUUCUUUGGAACCUUUUGAUGAAUGGAUAUGCGAAGAUUGGUAAUUUUAGGGAAAGUUUAUCUUUAUUCAAGCGGAUGAGGGAGUUGGGAGUUAAAAUGAAUUCUUAUACAUUUUCUUGCGUUAUGAAGUGUUAUGCGGCUUCAGGAAGUGUAGAAGAAGGGGAAGGGGUCCAUGCGUAUCUGUCGAGACUGGGUUUUGGGUCUUACAAUACAGUUGUGAAUUCUCUAAUUGCUUUCUAUUUCAAGAUUAGAAGAGUUGAAAGUGCACGCAAGUUGUUUGAUGAAUUGGGUGAUCGAGAUGUUAUAUCAUGGAAUUCUAUGAUAAGUGGGUAUGUGUCAAAUGGUCUUUCGGAGAAGGGACUUGACCUUUUUGAACAAAUGCUGCUUUUGGGGAUUAAUACGGAUUUAGCUACUAUGGUCAGUGUAGUUGCAGGAUGUUCAAAUACUGGUAUGCUUUUAUUGGGUAGAGCACUUCAUGGCUAUGCAAUAAAGGCUUCUUUUGGUAAGGAACUUACUCUCAAUAAUUGUUUGUUGGACAUGUAUUCAAAAUCUGGCGAUCUAAAUAGUGCCAUACAAGUUUUCGAGACGAUGGGUGAAAGAAGUGUGGUGUCUUGGACAUCCAUGAUAGCUGGAUAUGCUCGGGAAGGCCUAUCUGAUAUGUCGGUUCGAUUAUUUCAUGAAAUGGAAAAGGAAGGUAUUAGUCCUGAUAUCUUUACCAUCACAACCAUCCUUCAUGCUUGCGCAUGUACUGGCUUGUUGGAAAAUGGCAAGGAUGUCCAUAAUUACAUCAAGGAGAAUAAAAUGCAAUCAGAUCUGUUCGUCUCUAAUGCUCUGAUGGACAUGUAUGCAAAAUGUGGAAGUAUGGGAGAUGCUCACUCGGUUUUUUCUGAGAUGCAGGUCAAGGACAUCGUCUCAUGGAAUACCAUGAUUGGAGGUUAUUCAAAAAACUCACUUCCCAAUGAAGCACUCAAUUUGUUUGUUGAAAUGCAAUAUAACUCAAAGCCCAACAGCAUAACAAUGGCCUGCAUCCUUCCAGCUUGUGCCAGCCUAGCAGCUCUAGAAAGAGGCCAAGAGAUCCACGGUCAUAUAUUGAGAAAUGGGUUUUCUCUAGAUCGACAUGUUGCAAAUGCACUUGUUGACAUGUAUCUGAAGUGUGGGGCACUAGGUCUUGCACGUUUACUUUUUGAUAUGAUUCCUGAAAAGGAUCUGGUCUCAUGGACAGUCAUGAUUGCUGGAUAUGGAAUGCACGGGUAUGGGAGUGAAGCUAUUGCUGCAUUCAAUGAGAUGAGAAAUUCAGGUAUUGAGCCUGAUGAAGUUUCCUUCAUUUCAAUAUUGUAUGCCUGCAGUCAUUCUGGAUUACUUGAUGAAGGAUGGGGAUUCUUUAAUAUGAUGAGAAACAACUGUAGCAUUGAGCCCAAGUUGGAGCACCAUGCUUGCAUUGUGGAUCUUCUUGCCCGCACAGGCAAUUUGUCCAAGGCAUAUAAAUUCAUUAAAAUGAUGCCAAUUGAACCAGAUGCCACUAUCUGGGGUGCUUUGCUCUGUGGGUGUAGAAUCUACCAUGAUGUAAAACUAGCAGAGAAAGUUGCUGAACAUGUUUUUGAGCUAGAGCCAGAGAACACAGGAUAUUAUGUACUUCUAGCAAAUAUUUAUGCAGAAGCAGAGAAGUGGGAAGAAGUGAAAAAAUUGAGGGAGAGAAUUGGCCGGCGUGGCUUAAGAAAGAACCCUGGGUGUAGUUGGAUAGAGAUCAAGGGCAAAGUCCAUAUCUUUGUUACUGGAGAUAGUUCACACCCACUAGCCAAUAAGAUAGAAUUGUUAUUAAAGAAGACGAGGACACGAAUGAAGGAAGAGGGUCACUUUCCAAAAAUGAGGUAUGCUUUGAUUAAGGCAGAUGACACGGAGAAAGAAAUGGCUCUCUGUGGGCACAGCGAGAAGAUAGCCAUGGCUUUUGGAAUUUUGAGCUUGCCACCGGGCAAAACUGUAAGGGUCACCAAGAAUUUAAGAGUAUGUGGUGAUUGUCAUGAGAUGGCCAAAUUCAUGUCCAAGAUGGUAAAGAGAGAUAUCAUCUUGAGAGAUUCUAAUCGCUUUCAUCAUUUCAAGGAUGGGUCUUGUUCUUGCAGAGGUCACUGGUGAAACAAAGUGGGAAAAGGAGUUGAAAUGUAAGGAGCUCUUCAUCCAGGCACUCUCACUGUCUCACCCUGACACAAGUUGAUUUUCAAGAUUUGAUUGGGACAUCAAAGCAAGGCUGUGGAAAGGCAUGUGGGUUGUGUUCCCGGAAAUGCUAUUUCAAGGAUUUUGUCAAACUGAGAAGAUUGCUUUUGCUUGGCUUCCUGGACGACAUCUGGGAAUAUCUACGUAGGCAGCAGCUCAGGAGAUAGCGGAAGCAUGUAUUUUAACUCUUCCUGUGCCUGCUAAAUGCAUUAAACUGCUUGAAAGUGGAUCCAUAUGAAUGAAGGUUGAGUGAGGAAGCCAACAGAAGAAGCAGUGACUUCUGAUGCGAUUGGAGAUUAUGAGAAGAACAUAGCCAAAGCUAGUCUUAAAUAAAGAAGGGUAAAGCCUACUUUUGAGAAGUGGGAAGGUGCAAUUUCAGAUAUUGAAAAGGAAAAACUUAUAGAAUUAGAUGUUCAAACACCUACGUCGCCCUUUGUUUUGUUCUUUUGUGCCACCAAUGUAUGGUUCUUCUGAAAUAAUCUAGCACCCUAUACAAGUUCCUUAAAAUUUCUUUCGAAGGCAUCUUCCAAGAAAUUACCCUUUUCCCUGCCCUUGUUCAUUAGAAGCCUGGUGGAAUUGCUUCCACUGCAUAAUGAAAAUGGGCCCACCUGGCGUCACCACAGAACCUAGGGAUCAGAGGAUCUGGAUCACGCAAUCUGAAAUCUGUAUAAAGGUGGUCUCUGUCUCUCAACCAUUCCAUUUAUUUGGAGGCGCUGUAGGCUCUCCUUCAUUUCAGCCACAUCUAGUGUGUAUAUGGCCAGCUAGAAUGGAAUGAUUCUAAAUCGAGCUCGCUCUGGAAACUGCAAAAUCAGCGGGUUUGAAGGUUGAAUGGUCCUCCUCUCCAGCUUAGUGGGUUGGUCCUUAAUAAUAAUAACUAAAAGACGAAAUUAAUUAGGAAAAAUGUU